AUGAUAUCCUCAGUGUUGGUUUGGAUGGUGAUGAUGCGACUCCUUCCAAUUGGCCAGAGUUGUAGCGAGGAGACUCUGACGAACUUUAACCAAACGAAUUGUGACAUCUGUCCUCCUGGCUAUCACGCGUCGGAAGCCAUGGCCGGCGGAUACCAAUGCAAGAGGUGUGAGCGCCACACCUUCACCGCAAUAAAAAACUACGUGUCCAAGUGCGAGAGAUGCUCCACGUGUGAUGGAAAUGGCAUGAACGUGUUAACGGAAUGCGUCUACAACAGGGAUGCUUUGUGUGUAUGCCAAGAUGGAUGGUUCCCCAAUUACUUUAUGAACAAAUUGCAAAACUGCUUCCCUUGUUCCGGGCUCCGAAGGGAUGCUGACAUAAGGAAAGAAUGUAUUCGGACGCCACCUGAACCAAGGAAUCUGAACCAGGGUCAGAAGUCAACCUCCGCCACCAUCCUCAUAACCUCUACGGGGCAUGGCCGAUCAGAGGGGAGAUUAGAGCCAUCAAGACCCAGCCCCAGCCCACCAACUGAGCAGGCAAACAACAACACCAUGCUGAUGGUUGUGAUAGUGGCGGUGGUGGCGGCGGCGGUGGCCUUUCUGAUCUGUAACUGGUUAACAGCCGUGGCCCGCAUCCUGUACCGCACCCGACUGCCUGUGGCCAGCGAUGACCCGGAGUCCAAUUCCCUGGGUUGGAGGUUGACCGGGGGGUUCAUCUCUUGCUAAAAAAAAAAAAGCAUGGCAAAGAAUGAAUACAAACCAAAAAUGUAUGUCAAAAUAAUUAAUAGUAACAAUAAACCAUGAUUGUCACCUUGCAUGGUUGACUCUGCCGUCGGUGUGUUAAUGUG
rnacentral:lncRNA from 1 species